rnacentral:rRNA from 1 species
ACCGGCGGCUCGAGUGGUGGCCACUAUUACUGGGCUUAAAGCGUUCGUAGCUGGCUUGUUAUGUCUCUGGGGAAAUCUUCCGGCUCAACCGGAAAGCUGCUCAGGGAUACUGUCAGGCUAGGGGCCGGAAGAGGUGAGAGGUACUCCAGGGGUAGGAGUGAAAUCCUGUAAUCCUUGGGGGACCACCUGUGGCGAAGGCGUCUCACCGGGACGGCUCCGACAGUGAGGAACGAAAGCUAGGGGAGCAAACCG